AUCAUUUCAGAAGGUUAAAAGUUAAAACCAUAAAAUUAGAAAACGGAUCACUUCAUACUUCUCGCAUCUUUUAAUAAACCCUAACCGCUCCUACCUUCUUACGGCGACCAGACAUUUCCGGCAACCAGACAUCGCCGGCACCUCCGCCUCCGUCUCCUCUGUAAUUCGGUCACCGUCACCGCUUCUGCCUUCUCCGUGAUUCUGUUUGCAUUUACAUCACCGUCAUCGGAGAUCCGCCUCAGUCUUCUCCAAUGCGAUUCUGUUAGCUACCGAGCUGUCUGGCCUACAUGAGUGGCUUUAACCAUGUGUGUAGAACUAGAUAGACAUGCCUUGCAAUUGCAUCAAUGUAGGCACCAACCAAGAGGUCAUGAGGUAGGGGCAAAGGUGUGAAUGUAGUUCGACUAUGGACAAAGUGUGUGUGAAUUAAUGGCCUUAAUACAAAAUGAGAGUCUUUUGCCAUUACCACUACAAUACUACCCAUACUGAUCUGUUUAUGUGUAAUUGGGAUGACGUUGCCACCUUAAGCGCUAACAUAUAUUAUGUUCAGUUCCAGCUUGAAAUGGAAGAAAGUGAUAAAAUUGAUGCAAGGCUGCACCAAACAGAAGGCAACUAUGGCGAAUUCUGGAUGUAAAAUACCCUAUGCUCCAAGAAAAUGAAUUGUUAGCACUUCUAACUUCUUGUAAAGCGAUGCUCCAUUCACACCGUUCUAAGCAAUGUUAGGAAAUGAACUCAUAAACAUAGAAACGCCUAACUGCAUUAUUCUAGCAGUUUCUUCUGUCAACUAGGAUCUUGCUACAUAUGUUGCUAUCAAAAUUUCUCGUGAGGUUGAUCCACAA